rnacentral:rRNA from 1 species
UACGUAGGGGGCAAGCGUUGUCCGGAAUCAUUGGGCGUAAAGAGCGUGUAGGCGGUUCGGUAAGUCCGCUGUGAAAGUCCAGGGCUCAACCCUGGAAUGCCGGUGGAUACUGUCGGGCUAGAGUCCGGAAGAGGCGAGUGGAAUUCCUGGUGUAGCGGUGAAAUGCGCAGAUAUCAGGAGGAACACCGGUGGCGAAGGCGGGUCUCUGGGCCGAUACUGACGCUGAGGAGCGAAAGCGUGGGGAGCGAACAGG